rnacentral:rRNA from 1 species
GAAGCUGGAAUCGCUAGUAAUCGCGAAUCAGAAUGUCGCGGUGAAUACGUUCCCGGGUCUUGUACACACCGCCCGUCACACCAUGGGAGUCGGGAAUGCCCGAAGUCAGUGACCCAACCUAUAGGAGGGAGCUGCCGAAGGCAGGUCUGAUAACUGGGGUGAAGUCGUAACAAGGUAUC